UUUUAAAUGGCUCCCCCCUUGCCGUUCCCCCUUCCCCCAUCCGUCUGAUCGCAAGUCGAAGGGAAAGCUGCCUGACCGCGAGCGAAGGCAUGUCAGCAAGCGCGAGCGAACCCGGUCGGAAGUCCGGUGCCAGCAAGUGAGCGAACCAUGCCAACGCGCGAGUUGAAGUCCGGCCACUGACCGCGAGCGAGCCCUGGCGGCGAUAGGGCGGCGAUCGACCGAGAAAGAGGGAUUGGAAGAGAGCGAGCAUGCGAUAGCGAGAAAUGGGGAGCGAGCGAGGUCAUCUCAGAUCAGCAGCACUCCACGCCUAGCUUCCAGUUCAAAUCUACUCCCUAACCUCUUUUUUAACUUGAUCGAAGGACCUCGAGUGAGACCUCGGCUCCACGCCUUUCAGUGACCGCGAAUAAGAUCAUUUCGCGAGCAACAGUUUUCCAUAUCCGACGAGCGACAGAUACAACUACCAGAAGAUAGGAGGAAACCUCGCUAUUGGUUUUUGACCUUCAAGCCGAGGAUUAGCACGUCACAUCUAUUCCAUUUAUCUUAUCUACUUUUAGUUGUUUAGUUAAUUGACUUGUAAUCUUUUUAAUUUUCUGUUUAAUCAAAAUCGCCAUUCAAAAAAAAAAAAUUUUAAAUGGGUUAACUUAAAAUUUUACAAAAAUUUAUAUUUUCC
rnacentral:lncRNA from 1 species